CGCGCGCGCGGCCCUCCUGCCGCCGUUCUCGCCUGCCUGCUGCCCGACCGCGCGCUGCGGACGCGCCUGGUCCGCGGGGAGCUGGCGCGGGCCGUGGUGCUGGACGAGGGCAGUGCCUCGGUGGCGGAGCUCCGGCCCGACGGCCCGGCUCAUGUGCUGCUGGCCGCGCUGCUGCACGAGACCCGCGCGGGGCCCACUGCCGUGUACUUCCUGCGAGGAAGCUUCCACGGCUUCCAGGGCUGCUGUCCCGAUCUGUGCUCUG
rnacentral:lncRNA from 1 species